UAAUGGAAGCUCUUAUCUGCACACAAGAUUGGAUUCGGAUUACGCGUGCACCAUUAGCCAUUGAGAACACCUUGGAUGAGUUAACAAAAAUUGAGUCAGAAUUUCCAUCUUUCAGAGUAGAAAGUACUCGUCCUCAACUAAAUGAUUGAAGGGCAAUCCAAAUUUCCAAUAACAAGUUGACAUUUGACAAUGGAUUGGCAUGUGCUUGGAGUUUGACGGUUAUUGCUUGCUUGGAGGCCUUUUUUGAAAUAUUUUUGUGGGUUUGUUAUAUUUAUAUUUGCUAGUUUGAAAUCUUUUUGUGGACUAGCAUGUGUUUGCUAGUUUUAAUCAUGUGUUUGAUUUACAUUUCAUU